ACUCGUGGCUAAUCCAGGCCAUCCAGUAUUUCAGUGCCAAUCAAUCUGCAUUACGUCACCAGCCCGCCUCCCAGUCCUUCCCUCAGUUUCUUCAUUGGACAAAACUUAAAAAAAACUGAAGACAGCGUUCUAGACAGUUUCUUAGGGAUCAGAGCCUAAACUUCAAAAGCCUGGAUUCCUGUGCUCCGAGUUGCGAAAUGAGGAAUCCGAGGGGAGACUCAGGGGACUCAGUGUGAACAUGCCAGAAAGUCGAGUGCAAACAGUGACUGGAGGCCAGUGCAUUCCUGUUUGAGACAAAGCCGCAGGCGCAGACCCCGGUGUACUCUACAUCUUUAGAACACACACGUACCUGAUCCUGGGCUGGCACAAAAGGACACAAGGUGUGGGGGCGGCCCUGGAAUGUGAAUAAAUAAGAGUAUCCAUA